rnacentral:rRNA from 1 species
GACGAACGCUGGCGGCGUGCUUAACACAUACAAGUCGAGCGGUAAGGCCCUUUCGGGGGUACGACGAGCGGCGAACGGGUGAGUAACACGUGGGUGACCUGCCCUCAGCUCUGGGAUAAGCCUGGGAAACCGGGUCUAAUACUGGAUAUGACUCCAUGACGCAUGUUGUGGGGUGGAAAGCCUUGUGCGGCUGAGGAUGGGCCCGCGGCCUAUCAGCUUGUUGGUGGGGUGAUGGCCUACCAAGGCGACGACGGGUAGCCGGCCUGAGAGGGCGACCGGCCACACUGGGACUGAGACACGGCCCAGACUCCUACGGGAGGCAGCAGUGGGGAAUCUUGCGCAAUGGGCGAAAGCCUGACGCAGCGACGCCGCGUGAGGGAUGACGGUCUUCGGGUUGUAAACCUCUUCAGCUCCGACGAAGCGAGAGUGACGGUAGGAGCAGAAGAAGCACCGGCCAACUACGUGCCAGCAGCAGCCGCCGC